rnacentral:rRNA from 1 species
GACGUAGGGGGCGAGCGUUGUCCGGAUUCAUUGGGCGUAAAGCGCGCGUAGGCGGCUGCGCAAGUCGGUUGUGAAAUUCCGGGGCUCAACCCCGGAACUGCGUCCGAUACUGCGUGGCUAGAGGUAGGUAGGGGAGAUCGGAAUUCCUGGUGUAGCGGUGAAAUGCGCAGAUAUCAGGAGGAACACCGGUGGCGAAGGCGGAUCUCUGGGCCUUACCUGACGCUCAGGCGCGAAAGCGUGGGGGAGCGAACAGG